AAAGAGGGGGACCUUCGGGCCUCUCGCGUCAGGAUAUGCCUAGGUGGGAUUAGCUAGUUGGUGAGGUAAGGGCUCACCAAGGCGACAAUCCCUAGCUGGUCUGAGAGGAUGAUCAGCCACACUGGAACUGAGACACGGUCCAGACUCCUACGGGAGGCAGCAGUGGGGAAUAUUGCACAAUGGGCGCAAGCCUGAUGCAGCCAUGCCGCGUGUGUGAAGAAGGCCUUCGGGUUGUAAAGCACUUUCACUCGUGAGGAAGGUAGUGUAGUUAAUAGCUGCAUUAUUUGACGUUAGCGACAGAAGAAGCACCGGCUAACUCCGUGCCCCCAGCCGCGGUAAUACGGAGGGUGCGAGCGUUAAUCGGAAUUACUGGGCGUAAAGCGCAUGCAAGUGGUUUGUUAAGUCAGAUGUGAAAGCCCGGGGCUCAACCUCGGAAUAGCAUUUGAAACUGGCAGACUAGAGUACUGUAGAGGGGGGUAGAAUUUCCGCGCGUAGCGGUGAAAUGCGAUAUACAUCUGAAGGAAUACCGCUGGCGAAAGUCCGCCCCCCGGACAGAUUCUGACACUCUGAUAUGAAAAAGUGGGUGAUCAAAAAGGAAUACACUGCUCUGUGUAUUUCCGGCCUUAAAAAAACAUCUACCUGGCAGGUUUG
rnacentral:rRNA from 1 species